GAUGAAGAACGUAGCGAAAUGCGACAAGUAAUGUGAAUUGCAGAAUUCAGUGAAUCAUCGAAUCUUUGAACGCACAUUGCGCCCCCUGGUAUUCCGGGGGGCAUGCCUGUCCGAGCGUCAUUACAACCCUCAAGCUCAGCUUGGUGUUGGGCCCCGCCGCCCCGGCGGGCCCUAAAGUCAGUGGCGGUGCCGUCCGGCUCCGAGCGUAGUAAUUCUUAUCGCUCUGGAGGUCCGGUCGUGUGCUCGCCAGCAACCCCCAAUUUUUUUCAGGUUGACCUCGGAUCAGGUAGGGAUACCCGCUGAACUUAAGCAUAUCAAUAAGCGGAGGA
rnacentral:misc_RNA from 1 species